rnacentral:rRNA from 1 species
UACGUAGGGGGCAAGCGUUGUCCGGAAUCAUUGGGCGUAAAGCGCGUGUAGGCGGUCCGGUAAGUCGGCUGUGAAAGUCCAGGGCUCAACCCUGGGAUGCCGGUCGAUACUGCCGGACUAGAGUUCGGAAGAGGCGAGUGGAAUUCCCGGUGUAGCGGUGAAAUGCGCAGAUAUCGGGAGGAACACCAAUGGCGAAGGCAGCUCGCUGGGACGUUACUGACGCUGAGACGCGAAAGCGUGGG